rnacentral:rRNA from 1 species
AUACGUAGGGCGCGAGCGUUGUCCGGAAUUACUGGGCGUAAAGGGCUCGUAGGUGGUUUGUCGCGUCGUCUGUGAAAUUCCGGGGCUUAACUCCGGGCGUGCAGGCGAUACGGGCAUAACUUGAGUACUGUAGGGGAGACUGGAAUUCCUGGUGUAGCGGUGAAAUGCGCAGUUAUCAGGAGGAACACCGGUGGCGAAGGGAGGUCUCUGGGGAGUAACGAGCCUAUAGGAGCGAAAGUAGUGGGAUCGAACAGGGUUAAUUGCACUGGUUUGCCAUACCUGAAACGGUGGUCGCAAGUUGUAGGGUGCUUCUACGUCUUCUUGGCCGUAGCUAUCGCAAUAUGCGCCCCGCCUGGGGAGUACGGCCGCAAGGCUAAAACUCAACGGAAUUGACGGGG